GACGAACGCUGGCGGCGUGCCUAACACAUGCAAGUCGAACGGAAAGGUCUUUUCGGAGGUACUCGAGUGGCGAACGGGGGAGUAACACGCGGGUGAUCUGCCCUGCACUCUGGGAUAAGGCUGGGAAAAUGGGUCUAAUACUGGGGAGGAACGCACUUUAGCGUGUGUGGUGGAAAGUUUUUUAGGUGUAGGUUGAGCCCGCGGCCUAUCAGCUUGUUGGUGGGGGAAUGGUCUACCAAGGCGGCGACGGGUAGCAGGACCGGGUGGGUGCUCGGCCACAGUGACACUGAGACACGGCCCAGGCCCCGACUGGAGGGAGAGGUGGGAAAGAUGGCACAAGGAGCGCGGGCCAGAGGCUGAGCCGCCGCGGGGGGGAGAACGGCGUUCGGGUUGUAGACGCAAUUCGCCAGUGACGAGGCUUUUUGUGACGGUACCUGGAGAAUAAGCACCGGCUAACUACGUG
rnacentral:rRNA from 1 species